rnacentral:rRNA from 1 species
ACUCAAAGGAAUUGACGGGGACCCGCACAAGCAGAGGAGGAUGUGGUUUAAUAUGACGCUACGCGUAGAACCUUACCGAGGCUUGACAUCCUUGGGAUCCCUAAGAAAUUAGGGAGUGCCGCAAGGAGCCAAGUGACAGGUGCUGCAUGGCCGUCGUCAGCUCGUGUCGUGAGAUGUUGGGUUAAGUCCCGCAACGAGCGCAACCCUUAUCGUAUGUUGUAUUUUUCAUGCGAGACUGCCCGGGCCAACCGGGAGGAAGGUGGGGAUGACGUCAGGUCGGCAUGGCCCUUACGCCUCGGGCCACACACGUCCUACAAUGGCCGGUACAACGCGCCGCGAAGCCGCGAGGCGGAGCUAAUCGCACCAAAACCGGUCUCAGUUCGGAUUGCAGGCUGCAACUCGCCUGCAUGAAGUCGGAUUUGCUAGUAAACGUGGGUCAGCACACCGCGUUGAAUACGUUCCCGGGUCUUGUACACACCGCCCGU